rnacentral:rRNA from 1 species
GAGUAACGCGUGGGUAACCUGCCUCAUACAGGGGGAGUAACAGUUGGAAACGGCUGCUAAUACCGCAUAAGCGCACAGUACCGCAUGGUACCGUGUGAAAAACUACCGGUGGUAUGAGAUGGACCCGCGUCUGAUUAGGUAGUUGGUGGGGUAACGGCCUACCAAGCCGACGAUCAGUAGCCGACCUGAGAGGGUGACCGGCCACAUUGGGACUGAGACACGGCCCAAACUCCUACGGGAGGCAGCAUG